ACGGAACUGUGAUUGGGUAACUAAGAACAGUUUAGUGGCGAAAGGGUGAGUAAUGCAUGGGUAACGUACCCCGAGCACCGGGAUAGCAGCGUCUGCUUCGGCAGACUACCGAAAGGGCUGGUAAUACCGGAUGUUGUCAAGAGCACUGCGGUGCUUUUGAUUAAAGGUUGGGGAUCCACUUCGGUGGACCUAAUGGCCUGGGAGCGGCCCAUGUUCCAUCAGCUAGUUGGUAAGGUAACGGCUUACCAAGGCUGCGACGGAUACCGGGGCUGAGAGGCCGAUCCGGCACAUUGGGACUGAGACACUGCCCAGACCCCCACGGGGGGCUGCAGUAACGAAUCUUCCGCAAUGGGCGCAAGCCUGACGGAGCGACGCCGCGUGUGGGAUGAAUUCCCUCGGGAUGUAAACCACUGUCAGGGUUAUGGAAGCAAACCGCAGUAAUAUAGCGGGGCGCUGACCUGGCCCAGAGGAAGCCACGGCUAACUUCGUGCCAGCAGCCGCGGUAAUACGAAGGUGGCAAGCGUUGUUCGGAAUAACUGGGCUUAAAGAGCACGUAGGCGACUGGCCAAGCAUCUUGUGAAAUCCCUCGGCUCAACCGAGGAAUUGCGAGGUGAACUGGUCGGUUUGAGCUGCAGAUGGGUGACUGGAACUCUAGGUGGAGUGGUGAAAUGCGUAGAUAUCUAGAGGAACGCCGGUGGUGAAAACGGGUCACUGGCUGCAUGCUGACGCUGAGGUGCGAAAGCGUGGGGAGCGAACGGGAUUAGAUACCCCGGUAGUCCACGCCGUAAACGAUGGGUACUAGGUUCGGGGGAGUUUGACCUUUUCCGGGCCGAAGCAAAAGUACUAAGUACCCCGCCUGGGGAGUACGGUCGCAAGGCUAAAACUCAAAGGAAUUGACGGGGGCUCACACAAGCGGUGGAGCAUGUGGCUCAAUUCGAGGCAACGCGAAGAACCUUAUCCUGGGUUUGACAUGGUUGGAUGCCCUCGUCGAAAGGCGAGUAAGCUGCCUUCGGGUGAAACUUCCACAGGUGCUGCAUGGCUGUCGUCAGCUCGUGCUGUGAAGUGUUGGGUUAAGUCCCCUAACGAGCGAAACCUUUGUCUCUAGUUACCAGCGGGUUAUGCCGGGGACUCUAGAGAGACUGCCGGUGUUAAACCGGAGGAAGGUGGAGAUGACGUCAAGUCCUCAUGGCCUUUAUGCCCAGGGCUGCACACGUGCUACAAUGGUCGGUACAAACCGAAGCAAUACCGCGAGGUGGAGCAAAUCGGAAAAAGCCGGCCUCAGUUCGGAUUGCAGGCUGCAAUUCGCCUGCAUGAAGUUGGAAUCGCUAGUAAUCGCAGAUCAGCAUGCUGCGGUGAAUAUGUUCCUGAGCCUUGUACACACCGCCCGUCAAGUCAUGGAAGCCGGGAGUACCUGAAG
rnacentral:rRNA from 1 species